CAGCCGUAAACAAUGUGCGUUAGGUGUGUCGGUAACCACGUGUUACUGAUGCGCCGAAGAGAAAUCGUGAAACGCACCACCUGGGAAGUGCGGUCGCAAGGCUGAAACUUAAAGGAAUUGGCGGGGGAGGCACCGCAACAGGUGGAGCCUGCGGUUUAAUUUGGAUUCAACGCCGGACAUCUCACCGGAUAAGACAGCUGAAUGAUUGUCAAUCUGAAGGUUUUACAUGACUAGCUGAGAGGAGGUGCAUGGCGUCAGU
rnacentral:rRNA from 1 species